ensembl:lncRNA
AUGAGCAACAAACAGGAGGAGCUGGAAGCCUUUGUGCAGCAGGCAAACUAUGACCUAGUUGCCAUUAUGGAAACAUGGUGGGAUCGCUCCCAUGACUGGAGUGCUGCGAUGGAUGGCUACAAGCUCUUCAGAAAGGAUAGGCAAGGAAGGAGGGGUGGUGGCGUGGCUCUCUAUGUUAGAGACUGUUUUGAUGUUAUUGAGCUUGCAACUGGGGAAGACAAUGUUGAAUCUCUAUGGGUUAGGAUCAAAGGAAAGGCUGACAAGGCAGACAUCCUGGUGGGGGUCUGUUAUAGACCGCCUAACCAGGAUGAAGAGGCAGAUGAGGCGUUCUAUAAACAGCUGGCUGAAGUUGCGCAAUCGCCUGCCCUUGUCCUCAUGGGGGACUUCAACUUCCCUGAUAUAUGCCAGGAAUACAACACGGCACAGAAGAAGCAGUCUAGGAGGUUUCUAGAGUGUAUGGAAGAUAACUUCCUUCUGCAGCUGGUGAGAGAACCUACCAGGGGAGGUGCCCUGCUGGACCUGCUGUUUACAAACAGGGAAGGUCUGGUGGGGGAUGUGGAAAUUGGGGGCUGCCUUGGACAGAGCAACCAUGAAAUGGUAGAGUUCUCAAUUCUUGGUGGAACCAGGAGAGGGGACAGCAAAACGGUGACCUUGGACUUUCGGAGGGCAGACUUUGAAUUGUUCAGGAGGCUGGUAGGAAGAGUCCCUUGGGAUUUGGUCCUGGAGGGUAAAGGGGUCCAGGAAGGCUGGUUGCUCUUCAAGAAGGAAGUCCUGAAGGCGCAGGAACAGGCUGUCCCCCUCAGCCGCAAGAUGAGCCAGCGGGGAAGGAGACCGACGUGGAUGAACAGGGAGCUUUUCCUGAGGCUCCAGGAGAAAAAGAGAAUCUACUUCCUGUGGAAGAAGGGACAGGCAACUCAGGGAGAGUACAAAGAGGUUGCCAGGAUGUGCAAGGAGAAAAUUAGAAAGGCAAAGGCCCAGCUCGAAUUAAGCUUGGCUGCUGGGAUUAAAGGGAACAAGAAACUCUUAUACAAAUAUAUUAACAGUAAGAGGAGGACCAAGGAGAAUCUCCAUUCUUUACUGGAUGUGGCUGGGAAUGUGGCCACUGAGGACAAUGAAAAGGCUGAGGUUCUCAAUGCCUUUUUUACGUCUGUCUUUAAAAGCCAGACCAGUUGUCCUCAGAGCACUCUACUCUCUGACCUGGAAGUCUCGGAUGGGGAGCGAAAUAAACCCCCAAUGAUUCAGCAGGAAACGGUCAGAGACCUACUGCCACAAGUCCAUGGGGCCAGUUGA